rnacentral:rRNA from 1 species
UCUGGUGGCAAUAGAGAGGGGGACACACCUGAUCCCAUCUCGAACUCAGCAGUUAAGCCCCUCGUCGCCGAUGGUACUGUACACAAGAGUACGGGAGAGUAGGUAGCCGCCAGAU